UACACUUCCACACAAGCGUUGACUGAGACGUUGUAACUGAAUUAACGGAUCAAACGGUUGGCACGUAACAAAAAUUGGCGCAGUCGGUAGGAUAUUCAAUAGAAGGCAAUUCCACAUCGGAACCAUCGAGGAGCUGAACAACUUGCAGUCCUUCAACUUCUCAACUUCCAUUGAAUAGCUGAUACUCCACCGGAUCAUUCAGUCAACAACAUGUCUUCAAUCAACAAUUGUUUAUUUGUUGCAAAUCAUCAAACAAAUACAAGAAAUCGCAAAGAAACGGAAGAUGAGGACGACCCUCUCAAUGAAGAUUCAAGUUUGUGUGAUGCACCAAAAUUUAAAUAUUUGUUUGGUGAAUUUUAUAAACUAGUAUCCAUAGAUGGUCUAUAAUUAAUAGCUUUGUGUCAAAGUUGCUCUAAAAUUAUAAAUGGCUCUACAUCAUCAAGUGGAAAUUUGUUGAGCCAUAUUAUAAUUAAGAUUGAUAAAGCUGAAAAUGAGGAACUAACUAUACCACCAACAACAUCAAUUACCAUUAAAUCUAUUGAGCCUGAUUCUAUUUCUAAAGAAACUGAUCCUAAUGAAAAUAUUAAUGAAACGGUAAAAAUAGUGUAGUUUUUAAUUUAGAUUAAAGCCAUGUCAUAAGUGUAAAGUGUAGAAUUAGUAUUAGUAUAUAAUUAUUAUUAUUUUAUCUUAUAUUUAUAUAUAUUGACAGUUUUAUAAUCAAUCUUAUAUUCAGAUUCAUAAAUUUGCUUGUAUGUUUGUUAUUUAUUAAUUUUCAAUUAAUAGGUUGUUGAUGCAUCUGCAUGGCCCAUUAAUGAUAUUGCUAAUUUUAUUAGAAAACAGCAACUAAAUGCUAAAGAAAUAUAUAAUUGCU